UACGUAGGGGGCUAGCGUUGUCCGGAAUCAUUGGGCGUAAAGAGCGUGUAGGCGGCCCGGUAAGUCCGCUGUGAAAGUCGGGGGCUCAACCCUCGAAUGCCGGUGGAUACUGUCGGGCUAGAGUGCGGAAGAGGCGAGUGGAAUUCCUGGUGUAGCGGUGAAAUGCGCAGAUAUCAGGAAGAACACCCGUGGCGAAGGCGGCUUUCUGGGACGGUACUGACGCUGAGACGCGAAAGCGUGGGGAGCGAACAGG
rnacentral:rRNA from 1 species